rnacentral:rRNA from 1 species
GGUCAUUUAGAGGAAGUAAAAGUCGUAACAAGGUCUCCGUUGGUGAACCAGCGGAGGGAUCAUUACCGAGUUUACAACUCCCAAACCCCUGUGAACAUACCUUUAUGUUGCCUCGGCGGAUCAGCCCGCGCCCCGUAAAACGGGACGGCCCGCCGCAGGAACCACAAAACUCUGAUUUUAGUGUAACUUCUGAGUCUAAAAAACAAAUAAGUCAAAACUUUCAACAACGGAUCUCUUGGCUCUGGCAUCGAUGAAGAACGCAGCGAAAUGCGAUAAGUAAUGUGAAUUGCAGAAUUCAGUGAACCAUCGAAUCUUUGAACGCACAUUGCGCCCGCCAGUAUUCUGGCGGGCAUGCCUGUUCGAGCGUCAUUUCAACCCUCAAGCCCCCGGGUUUGGUGUUGGGGAUCGGGCUGUACUCCAGCCCGGCCCCGAAAUCUAGUGGCGGUCUCGCUGCAGCCUCCAUUGCGUAGUAGCUAACACCUCGCAACUGGAACGCGGCGCGGCCAAGCCGUUAAACCCCCAACUUCUGAAUGUUGACCUCGGAUCAGGUAGGAAUACCCGCUGAACUUAAGCAUAUCAAUAAGCGGAGGA